rnacentral:lncRNA from 1 species
CGGCAGCCAGGGCACCUUUCGGUGCAUCCAGGCCUGCAGGGCGGGCUCGGGGGCGCCGCGGUCCCGCAGGUUCCCAGUGCACCGUCCGCCUGGUCCUCACCCCGGCUCCGGCCCGGCCCCGGCCCCGGCCCCUGGUGUCAAGGCCCCGGCACCGGCUCAGCGCGUCGGCUGCCAACCUCUGGCAGCUGGUCCGGGAAGGCACAAUCGCGGCCGGCUCUGUCUGGCUCGCGUCUGCAGAGAUGGAACGAAUGUCAACUCCAACCUCCUGGGCCAGCUCCCUGAGCCCCCUCCCGUCCCGCCGAAAUCAGGGUUCUUGCUUGGGCGCUACUCCCAUACAUCCUGGAACCUGUCUACCCCCCACGCCUUCGCUGCGCCACAGUUUUUACUUGAAAGGAGGUACGGGGGUGGCGGGGGUAGCAAUCACGAAUCCAUUGAGAAUGUCCCUGAAUUCAUAGGCUCUUUUGGUCAUUUGGUCUUUAUUUUAUUUUCAGUCAAGGAAUACUCAAACCAUAACUACUCAUCCUGCGGGCUUCUGGGAAAAUUUGGAGAUUAAAAUACCUGAAGAUUCUGGUAAUCCCUGUUCUAAUGAGUCAAUUAAAAAGCGUUCGUUUACCCACCACGCCCAGAUAGAAUCACACGAAAAUCAAUGAAGAAAUAUGCUCAACUUCUACAAUUCUGUUUGGAAACUAAAAACCAAGUCCUUGUAUUUUCAGCUGCAAAUUAGGGUUCACAUUAAUUACCCUAAAAUACAGCGAUUUGCCUCAUGUAGAAGUUAGUUUUUUGAAUCAAUGUUUUGUGUCAGUUUUCUUCCCUAGGCAUGUUGUAAACUGAUAUCAUGGAACCAUUAAAACAAACAAAACCCCCAGCUGAUUUAUGCUUGUUUUUCUUAGUUAUUGAACCUUGGACUCUUGGCUUUUUUUUUUUUUUUUUAAAUGAAUUUUAGAGUAAAAAGUAAUUGAGACGUUAGGCAACCUCCUGGUAAAACCUAAUCAUGCAGCCAGAAUAAAGACUAG